rnacentral:lncRNA from 1 species
AUGGGUCUGGAGGACCAAGGUCCAUCGGUGUUCCGUUGCUCUGUCAUUCUAACAGUGUUGCUGGAGAGAGAAGAGGUCAGCCAGGCCCCAGUGAUGGCCUCCUCUUUCAGGCCCUCAGUGUUCCCCUCCGUGCAUGUUGUACCUCGUGCUCCCCCUCCUGACGAAAUCAGGCCCAAGAGGCCCACAGCUGCCCACAGAAAGAGGAGAGACCUCCAGUCCCUGGUUCCUGUCCAGGAUGGAUGUCGUGAGUCUCCCGGUUGGUUUAACAGCAGCAGCUCCCAGCUACCUGCCAAAACCAACAGACGCAGGCGCAACAAGGAGCUUUCCUUCACUGAGGUUCUGAAGAACUACAAGCUUCUGCCUGAUUCCCGGCCCAGCAGCCCAGAGAGCCUGUACCAGCCUGAGACAAUGAUACCUAGAAUUCCUGUAAGUAUCACAAGACCUGUUGUGAGGCCUAGCAACCCUCGACGGCCUGUUAGCCCAGUUGAGCUGGUCCAGCCUGAUGUACAGCCUUCCAGACCUGAGGGGAGGCCUAGCAACCCUCGGCGAACCACUAGACGGCCUGUUAGACCAGUCGGCCUGGUCCAGCAUGAUGUUCAGCCUUCCAGGCCUGAGAGGAGGUGUAGCAACCCUGUGGGCCCCACUAGACAGCCUGUUAGCCCCGUUGGCCUGGUCCAGCCUGAUAAACAGCCUUCCAGACCUGAGGGGAGGCCUAGCAACCCUCGGAACACCACUAGGAGAAAAGUGAGGCCCAGUAACCGUGUUUGUCCCGUUAUGCUUGAGUCCCGUCCUACCUGUCCUGCAGUGAGUCUGGUCCAGCCUGAGCCCCGUCCUACCUGCCCUCUGACCCUGGAGGAGCCGGCCCUUUCAGAGUCAUGCAGCUUCAGCAACAAUGUGUUUGUUCUCUCCAUGCCGAAAGCUGCCCAGCCAGAGGAGGCUGCCAGAGGGAGCAGCAGCCCACCCAGGGACAUCAUCAGGCCUGAGGCCUUCGUCCAGACAGGACCCCUGCUGGCCAGGAGAGCCCAGAGGGAUGCUCCUCCUCCAAAGAAGGUCCCCAAACCCCCGGUGGCCCCCCGGCCCAAACUACUACCCUCCCUGGGCCAGGGCAACGUGUCCCUUGUCAGUGCCAACGCCUGGGAUGACAAGACCAAGAAGAAGAGAAAGAAAGGUCAGCACUUCUCUUUGUGCAAUGACACAUUUUGUCUAAUGAAUAUAUUGUCAAUAUUGUAUAAUGUU